rnacentral:lncRNA from 1 species
AGGUUUAAGACCGGAUGUAGUAUGCCUUUGGAAAGCCUCAGGACCCAGAGGUCAGAGUUCACAUUGGCCAUGUUCAUCCAUACCAAGCUGCAAACCCUGGAGCAUGUGACUGAGGCCUUAUUUAGGGCCAAAUUCAAGUUCAGUGAAUGCCCAAAAAGCCACAUCUCAAAGAAGUGCGAUUUUACUAAGUUUAAUGCAUAUACAUUUUAAGACUUGGUGGCUGAGAAACAACUCAUCCUGGAUGGCUGUGGGGCCAAAUAUAGCCCUGGAAUCAUGGGCCCCUGGACAAGCAGCUAGCCCUGCAUUA